CAGGCCUAACACAUGCAAGUCGAGCGCGAAAUUUCCUUCGGGAAUGAGUAGAGCGGCGGACGGGUGAGUAACGCGUAGGAAUCUACCUAGUAGUGGGGGACAACAAUCGGAAACGGUUGCUAAUACCGCAUAAGCCCUACGGGGGAAAGCAGGGGAUCUUCGGACCUUGCGCUAUUGGAUGAGCCUGCGUCGGAUUAGCUAGUUGGUG
rnacentral:rRNA from 1 species